GACGAACGCUGGCGGCGUGCUUAAUACAUGCAAGUCGAACGGUAAGGCCCUUCGGGGUACACGAGUGGCGAACGGGUGAGUAACACGUGGGUGAUCUGCCCUGCACUUCGGGAUAAGCCUGGGAAACUGGGUCUAAUACCGGCUAGGACAACUGCCUGCAUGGGUGGUGGGGGGAAGCUUUUGCGGUGUGGGAUGGGCCCGCGGCCUAUCAGCUUGUUGGUGGGGUGAUGGCCUACCAAGGCGACGACGGGUAGCCGGCCUGAGAGGGUGACGGGCCACACUGGGACUGAGAUACGGCCCAGACUCCUACGGGAGGCAGCAGUGGGGAAUAUUGCACAAUGGGCGCAAGCCUGAUGCAGCGACGCCGCGUGAGGGAUGACGGCCUUCGGGUUGUAAACCUCUUUCAGCACCGACGAAGCGCAAGUGACGGUAGGUGCAGAAGAAGGACCGGCCAACUACGUGCCAGCAGCCGCGGUAA
rnacentral:rRNA from 1 species